UACGAAGGGGCUAGCGUUGCUCGGAAUGACUGGGCGUAAAGGGCGCGUAGGCGGUUUGUACAGUCAGGUGUGAAAUUCCCGGGCUCAACCUGGGGGCUGCACUUGAUACGUAUGGACUGGAGUGGGGAAGAGGGUCGUGGAAUUCCCAGUGUAGAGGUGAAAUUCGUAGAUAUCAAGCAGAACACCUGCGGCGAAGGCGGCCUUCUGGACGAUGACUGACGCUGAGACGCGAAAGCGUGGGGAGCAAACAGG
rnacentral:rRNA from 1 species